GUGUGUGUGUGUGUAUCGUGUGUGUGUUUGUGUGUGUGUGUGUGAAUCAUGUACGUACGUGUGUUUGUGCAAAAUGUACAGACUGAGAUUAUGUAACAUAAGGUGUAACCUAUAAGGUGUGUGUGUGUGUGUGUGUGUGUGUGUGUGUGUGUGUGUGUGUGUGUGUGUGUAAUGAUGGUGCUGUAUAGACAUGCUCACACUGAAAAACUUUUCUAAUCUUUCUCUACAAGUUAGAAUAGGUCUAUGUUCUAUAAAACAAGUUCUUCAAAAAGAGCUGUUUAAGGGCUCUGACACUUUUAUACAAUUAAUAUGCUGUUGCUGGCCACGCACAUGUUUAUGCUAAGUGUGUAAAUGGUUAAACACAAACAGGCUGGUUGAUGCUUAACUAUGAUAGAAGCACAAGACUCAUAAUUUGUACGUUCUUACGUCUCAAUUAUCUGCUGACUCACCACAGAUAGUAGGUACAGAUCCCUCCCUCAGAAGAAGUCUGCUGGCUGAUCCUGCUGUGUACUGUGUAGAAUACUAAACCCAAAUAAACAUCAAUAAAGUCAGUGAUCAGUGAGAGUGUCUACCUGCAAUAAACUACAUAUAAUAUAAGAAUACUAAACCAAAAUAAACAUAAAGUAAUUUUUCAGUGAAUGUCUACCUGUAAUUGACUCUAUAUUUAUUUGGGUUUAUUUUAGUAGUAUAUAGAGUUAAUUACAGGACACUCUCAUUGACCACUGAUUUUUAAUGUUUAUUUGGGUUUAGUAUUCUAAUGUUAUAUAGAGCUAAUUACAGGUAUACACUCUCACUGACCACUGUUGUAUUAAACUAAACCCAAAAACAUAGUCAGUGGCCAGUGAGAGUUUCUACCUGUAAUUAUCUCUAUACAAUAUUGGAAUAAACCCAAAUAAACAAAGCCAGUGGUCAGUGAGAGUGUCUACAUGUAAUUAACUCUAUAUACCUCUAGAAAACUAAACUAAACUAAACGUUGUGUGUGUUGUGUGUGUGUGUGUGUGUGUGUGUUGUGUGUGUGUGUAUCCGGGGUGUGUGCUGAGGGACAGUGUUUGCUCAGUAGGUUCUGCAGGUCAGGGUUUGGGUAUUUGUUGGCAGGUGAAAUGUUUUGUUCCAGUCGUGAGAGCAAGGACACGUCCCACGAGAACUCACCACAGCCUGGGAAUGAUUGACUCAGCCCUGAGCUGCUGUCCGGCUCUUAAAGCUGUAGAUACAUAAAAUAAUUACAGCAUUAAAGUGUUUAGUUUUACGCUCUUUUUGCUGGUUUACAUUUACAAAAAGGCAACAGCUUAUGCACAGAUAACCAAAACAACACUGAGGCAACGUGUAGAGAUUCAGUCAUAGGUUGCCAAGUCUAUAUAGAACCCUCAAGGUAUAAAUUCAGACCCUUGCUGGGGGGGAUUGUGAUAAUAGUUGUAUAUUAUAAGUCUGAAGAGACUGAUGUGAGAUCAUACAGGAGAGAAGUUGUUGGGUUAAAGGGAAAACCAACUGCAGUUCUUACAUAGUGUUCUGUAUUUUACUGCAUAUGAUCAAUCAUACAUCAUACAUAAUUCCUAAUCAAGAGAAAACCUGUAUUGACUUCCAUUACAAGAUGAAUGUGAUUUAAUGUAUUUUUUUAAUGGUAUAAUGGAGAUUAUACAUCUUUACAUAUAUAAGCUGCAAAGUGAAUCUCAGUAGAUAUAACUAUUUUUGUGGUUUAAAAAUUUUACAUUUUUCCUUAAAUAAAAAGUAGUAUAAGGAGGUUAUAUUAUAUUUAUAUUGUGUUUAAUACAAAAGCUGCAUGUAAGGUUGAAGGGGCUGCUUACUAUUCGUAAAAAAAGAAAAAUCACAAUGAAACGUAAAGCAAACUAAUAAAAUAAAAACAAAUAAAAAAUAAACUUAUGUAAGAACUAAAAAUCUAAAUCUUAAUUGAGAAUCACUCAUAUAUUUAAAAAAAUGAGACUCAAUUAUUCAAUGAUCAAUUAUUAUAUUAUUUUCUCUUAUUUUGCUAGUAAAGCGAACAUUUCUGUUUCAUUUAAAUAACAAAAAAGAUGCAGAGCUUUCAGACCUCAAAUAAUGCAAAGAAAACAAGUUCAUAUUCAUAAAUUUUUUUUUUUUAAAUCAAUAUUUGGUGGAAUAAUCCUGGUGGUUUUUAUUCACAGUUUUUUUGUUCUCCUCCUCCACCAGUCUUACACGCUGCUUUUGGAUAACUUUAUGCUGCUUUAUUCCUGGUGCAAAAAUUCAAGCAGUUCAGUUUGGUGGUUUGAUGGUUUGUGAUCAUCCAUCUUCCUCUUGAUUAUAUUCCAGAGGUUUUUUUUUUUCAAUUUGGUAAAAUCAAAGAAACUCAUCAUUUUUAAGUGCUCUCUUAUUUUUUUCCAGAGCUGUAUAUUUAAAUGUAAUAGUUUUUGGUUUUGUCUGGCUUCACAGGCAAUUUCCCACUAAAUAACCGAUAAAACCUAAUUAUUAUCAUCAAUAUUUCAUCCUGACUGAAUAUCGCUCAGCACUAGUACAGGCUGUAUAUCUCUUAUUUUUAAAAAUACUCUUAAAAAUCCAGUUUAUUUGUAAUUUGAAGAGUUUGGUACUUUUUUCUGUCUUAUUUAGUGACUCUGUGAGGUCUGUGGAGUGUGUUUAUUAUAUGUAAAUAGAAAGCAGCUGGUCUGUGAACUGUAUUUGGGACCUGUUGGAUUAUUAUUUAUCUCAUUUUUUUUCCUGUGUGCCAAAACACUGAACUACAUGUCAAUAUUCUGCAUAGCUUUACUGCAUCAGCACCUACAGGCUGAACUUCAGUGGGUGUCCUGCUUAUAGACGUGUGUUUAUCUGAUGAUUAAUAUCGCUGCUGAUGAUGAUGAUGAUCAGUUAUAUAUUUAUGUAUGUUUAUGUAGAUGUACUAUUUGUACUGAAAGCAUAAAGCUAUAGUAUAUUAAUUGACCAUCUGACGUGGUCGUAUGUCUUAAAGAAGUUCAAAAAUAAAUGUUUAAGAGUCAAA